rnacentral:lncRNA from 1 species
AGAGACAUGAUGACGUAGAGAUAGGCCUUUGGGACAUUCGAUAUAUAUAUUCCAUGUUUUUAGACAUGAGGACUUGAUAUUUGGACGGAUCUUGCGUUACUUGCCAUUGUGCUCAUUCGCACAUGCUUGUGAGGGUCGCUCCCUACAAGCCGGCACUCCGGAGAUGGCCAUCGCGAUACAUAUUCGCCGUGCGGGAUUGGGCGCCGAAGUGGAUUGCCGUGGGAAAGGAUCAUUCCUAGAGUGGGGAUGUUGACUACCACGGGGCC